CAGUCAAGUGGGCACUUUCUCAUCUCCAUCUUCCCUUAUUAGCCAUUGUUUCCAUUUUCUCUAAUUAAAACAAUAUUUUGGUUAAUUUGGUGAAUGAACUAAUUGUGCUCUUGAAUCAGGAGUUCUCUCCUUUCCUCCUUGGAAGGGCUUCUCUGUCUUUCCAGAAUGUUUUUCCUGAGAACUUUUCAUUUCUCUUGAGUUAAAUUUCCGGGUAAAAUCGUGGGCCUUGGAAACCCCACCUCAUCCAGUCAGCCAGCGUUCCCUAAGGACGUAUUGGGGGAAGCACAGGAGAUAAAAAGGAAGGCAAAUACAUCACCUGCAUCCUCAAGGAGCUCAGUUCUUUGGGGGGAGACAUGGCAAUAAAUAGAUGAAUACCCAAGGCAGACCUAAGAGAGGAAGAUAACAGAAAACCCCAUUGGGAAUCCAGGUUCCUGUUCUGGGUCCAGUCUCCUGCAGAGGUGCAUCCUCCUUCCUGGGUCAAUGCUGAUGUCCAUAUAGAUGGAGCACUGUGGGCAAUUCUGGAAGCCACAUUUUGGGAAACCAUUUGGAAGAAGGGACAAGGAAGGCAAAAGUCUACAGAACCAUGUCAUCUGAGAAAAUGGGGUUAUUUGGCUCAAGAUCAAGCAUAGUUUUGUGACGGGAAUUGUGCAAAUGUUCUCCCGUGUGAUCCUCACAGUAACCCUAGGAGUGGGAGUGAAUCAGUUCAACAUGUCACAUGUCCUCUCUCACUGGAAGUCUCCAACUAGAGGCUGAGUGUUCAGACCAUGUAAAGGCCCCCACAACCAUCCCUGAGAGGAGAAUUCAUUGUGGAAAAGAUGCCUGCCUUCCUCAUCACGACUACCAUCAACUGCCAGCCAACCAUCAUCUGUAGAAAUAUGAACACAAGGAGCCUGACAGGGGCAGGACCCUUGAGGUAGGUGGUCUUUCUUCCAGCUCGGUCCUCACAGCUAACAUUUUGGGAAGCAAUUCUUGUGGAGAAAGAGUGAGCCAUCCUGCACAACUGCCAACCAGUUGAUACUCACUGGGCAGGAAAGCUAGGCUGGUUGAAAUAGGAAGGUCCCCUGACAAACAACAGGUACUAGCUGGUGCCAGGACAAUCAACCCAAGCAGCUCAAGGCUCUGGAGCCUUGGGAGAAAUUAUCUCUGUUAAGAUAGAGCCUGGCAAUUGAUCCUGAAUGUGCCAUAACCACAGCUAACCCCAAAAGAAAAGUUCUUGCGCCAAGAUCCUUGACACUGACAAAUGGUUCAACAUAAGGAACUUCUGUGAUUUUAUCAGAAGAGAUGACAUUUGAAGAAAAGGCACCGUCAUUAGCUUUGCCUCUGUACUCCAAGGAUCCCGGGAUGUUUCCAUAUGACUUCUAGCUGAAACCUCCUCUCUCCUUCUUUUCUCCCAUUAAAAUAAGAACUUCCA